GGUAAUUAAUAUUGUUACUUGUUAUUUUUAUUUAGUAAAAUUUUUCUUUAAAUAAAUUAUUUUAUUUUUCGUGUGGGCAAUGACCACAUUGUGGCUGCGGUAUUCGAAGGACGUUAUAAAAUCAGCAGACACUGUUCGGGAGCCAGUCGGCAACCAUGGAAGAAUAUUAUGGUGGUUAUGGUAGUGGUUUUAACUUCGGGAGCCGUUUUGGAUGUGGUUUUGGAGGGGAUAUUGCAUCAGUUGUGAUUACAGACAAUGGUAAAAAUUAAGAAAAACAAAGUAUAUUUGUAACACGAGUAAGACGGAAUUUAUGAAGUUGACAUACGAGUAUAACUUUAAACUUGGUACACGUAAGACUAUAAUCAUAAUUUAAUUUGAUUUGUAAUAUUAUAAAUUACCUAUAAUUUCAAUUAGAGUCCACAUUAAAUAACUAAAUUAUUAA